UACAGAGGGUGCAAACGUUGUUCGGAUUUACUGGGCGUAAAGCGCGUGUAGGCUGCUUCGCAAGUCGGAUGUGAAAGCCCUGGGCUCAACCCAGGAAGUGCAUUCGAAACUGCAGAGCUGGAGUCCUGGAGAGGAAGGCGGAAUUCUCGGUGUAGAGGUGAAAUUCGUAGAUAUCGAGAGGAACACCGGUGGCGAAGGCGGCCUUCUGGACAGUGACUGACGCUGAGACGCGAAAGCGUGGGGAGCGAACAGG
rnacentral:rRNA from 1 species